GGGAUAUUUCGCGCAAGUACUCAAACGAUAUUUUUUCGUACUCAAUAACAACGUAUGUAUUAAGGUAUAUAAAUAUAUAGUUCAACCACUAAAUUAUGUAAACAUUAAUAUUUUUUUUAAUAAAUCAAUAAAAAUUCUAAUCGAUUGAUGACCACGAAAAAUCAACAUUAAAUCGAAACAAUUAUUCAAACUUUCAAUCGAAUUGUUAGUUCAUAAUUCGUGGAAUAACAGACUAUAAUGCAGACAUUAUGACGACUUUAUAAAUUCUAUAAACAUCGACUUCAAAAAUUUACAAACUUUAACACUUUCACUGUCAUUAAUGCAUUACGUAUGUUUACUCGUUUGUAUUAAUAUCUGAUAAAAUGAAAAAUAAAAUGUAGACG